rnacentral:tRNA from 1 species
GGGAUGGCUCAGUGGUUAAGAGCACUGGAUGCUCUUCCAGACAGCCUGGGGUUCAAGUCCCAGAACCCA